rnacentral:lncRNA from 1 species
UUGCUUGCCGUUUCUAUUCCUGCAAGCAUCCUCUUCUGUCUAACCUUCCAAGAAAGAGAACAAAAGUUCUUCUAACUUCUGCCCAUCUAAAACCAUUACACAAGUCCAGAACGAAUUAUUCUUACAUGGGUGUAAAAUGCCAAAAAGAACCUGUACAGGCACAAUCAUUUACAUUUUACACUAUACAGCGUUCUUGUCAGGCAAAUUCUUCAACACUUUAUAUCAACCUCAGUUGUACAUUCCCUUACAUAAGCCUGAAAAUAUGCCUUGCCAGUAAAUCAAGAUUUAACUAUAUUCAGUUAUAGAAGUAUUACUCCCUCCGUUCGGAAUUACUUGUCUUGGAAAUGGAUGUAUCUAGAACUAAAAUACAUCUAGAUACAUCCAUUUCUACGACAAGUAAUUCCGAACGGAGGGAGUACUAGUUUGGUGAAAUGUCCCUUUGGUGCCUGUCAUCUCAACACUACCAAGUCCAAAUCUUCAGGCGGUAGGUAUCUGUGAUGGUAGUACAACGCUGAUGACAAGCAGCAGAAUGAAGAAAGAUGUGUGACUACAACUCAAGCAAAUUAAUACCAGAGUCUGAUCCUUCAAAUCUUCAAGCUGUCAGCUGAUAGUUAACGGAGAGAAGCUCCUGACUCUCGACAGUUCCCACUAACGAUACUGCAGGAUGAAUGCAUUAUGAGCUACGUUUCAGGAAAAUUGUCAGCACAGGCAACUUGGCAAAGACUGAAUUGUCUGAGGCGAUUGACAAUCGCUAAUUCAAUCUUACUUAAGUAAAAAAUAAUAAUUGGAGUGCAUGAGUAAUUGAUUCUAUACAUGACUAAUUCAUCUAGCCAAAUAUCCGAAAAUACAAUGGUGAACAUGGGUCCAC